rnacentral:rRNA from 1 species
UACAGAGGGUGCAAGCGUUAAUCGGAAUUACUGGGCGUAAAGCGUGCGUAGUCGGUUAUUUAAGUCGGAUGUGAAAUCCCUCGGCUCAACCGGGGAACGACGCAUGAAACUGGCAAGCUAGAGUACCAAAGAGGAGAGUGGAAUUCCUGGUGUAGCGGUGAAAUGCGCAGAUAUCAGGAAGAACACCCGUGGCGAAGGCGGCUCUCUGGAACGCAACUGACGCUGAGACGCGAAAGCGUGGGGAGCAAACAGG